rnacentral:rRNA from 1 species
AGAUUGAACGCUAGCGGGAUGCUUUACACAUGCAAGUCGAACGGCAGCGCGGACUUCGGUCUGGCGGCGAGUGGCGAACGGGUGAGUAAUAUAUCGGAACGUGCCCAGUAGCGGGGGAUAACUACGCGAAAGCGUGGCUAAUACCGCAUACGCCCUACGGGGGAAGGGGGGGAUCGCAAGACCUCUCACUAUUGGAGCGGCCGAUAUCGGAUUAGCUAGUUGGUGGGGUAAAGGCUCACCAAGGCUUCGAUCCGUAGCUGGUUUGAGAGGACGACCAGCCACACUGGAACUGAGACACGGUCCAGACUCCUACGGGAGCAGCAGUGGGAAUUUGGACAAUGGGCGCAAGCCUGAUCCAGCAAUGCCGCGUGCAGGAAGAAGGCCUUGGGUUGUAAACUGUCUUUGUACGGAACGAACGGUCGUGGUUAAUACCGUACGGCUAAGUGACGGUACGUAAGAAUAAG